UUGAACGCUGGCGGCAUGCCUUACACAUGCAAGUCGAACGGCAGCACGGGAGCAAUCCUGGUGGCGAGUGGCGAACGGGUGAGUAAUAUAUCGGAACGUGCCCAGUAGUGGGGGAUAGCCCGGCGAAAGCCGGAUUAAUACCGCAUACGACCUGAGGGUGAAAGCGGGGGAUCGCAAGACCUCGCGCUAUUGGAGCGGCCGAUAUCAGAUUAGCUAGUUGGUGGGGUAAAGGCCUACCAAGGCUACGAUCUGUAGUUGGUCUGAGAGGACGACCAGCCACACUGGGACUGAGACACGGCCCAGACUCCUACGGGAGGCAGCAGUGGGGAAUUUUGGACAAUGGGCGCAAGCCUGAUCCAGCAAUGCCGCGUGCAGGAAGAAGGCCUUCGGGUUGUAAACUGCUUUUGUCAGGGAAGAAAUCUUCUGGGCUAAUACCCCGGGAGGAUGACGGUACCUGAAGAAUAAGCACCGGCUAACUACGU
rnacentral:rRNA from 1 species